GCCCAAAUCAAACUGUUAACUUGUCUGA
rnacentral:piRNA from 1 species